rnacentral:sRNA from 22 species
ACGUCCGCCGGAUGGGACGGCCUCACCGUCCGGCGCCGCGCCCGGUUACCCUGACUCCGUGCGCCUUCCCGCCGGAAGCCGCAAAGCCGACAGCCGUCGCAUCCCAGGGAGCCCGUUCAUG